AGCCAUUAAUCAACCUUUGAUUUAACUGAUUUCUCAAUGAGCUAAUUUAUUUGAAAAUAUGUAUAUUUUCACACAUGAUUCUCAAGCUAAAUUCUGCCUUGACCUGUAAUGUUCAUGUAUUUUUGGCAGGCUGACUUCAUAAAGUGAGCCGAGAGAAUGCAGGGGCCAUAUCGUAUCUGAAGCAUCCACUUUGUUUUUUACACCAGGGCAUUCAAUAACCACUUAAUAACUAUAACACUGAUGGUAAGAGCAUUUUCCCUCCUCAAUGGAUUUAUGCAACAUUUCUUGCUUUUUAAAAAUGUUCUCUACUAUAGCAAAUGAUUUUGACCUUGAGGGUGAAGCAAAACAAAGCACAGCAAAUAAAAUACUCCACAAUAUUUUUUAAGAGUAAAUGAUUAAAUGUUUUUUUUUCUUGUUCCCUGACUUGAUAUUAGGAUGUUUAUGCUCUUAUUUUAGACUUGGUUUGUUAUAGGGAGCUCAUUUAUAGGGUUUAAAAGGAGUUCAAUUUAUAAUAAGUGAAAAAUUUAUUAAAAUAUAAAUCUGGAAUUUACGGGUCAAAGGACAUGAAAUAUGUGUAUGUAUAUAUACAUAUAUUUUUAUUUUUGAAAAAAUACUUAUUUUUAAGCUAGGUAUGUACUGUUUUAAAGAUGGGCAUUUUACUGUUGUUAUAUAUACUUAUAUGUACUUAAAUAUCUAUACAUAUAUAUCUUAAAUCAUACAGAAAUGAGAUGCUCUACAACGUCAAAAAUAUUAGUAUUAAUAUUUCAUUGUGUACACUGUGCAUAUUAAAAAUUUAAAUGACCUCUAUUAAAGACUCUCAACAAAGCAACAAUAUCAAAGAAAAAUACAAUGUCCUGAGAUUUAGCAUUUCCACAGAGAAGCUGGAAAAGUCAAAUAUUAGUCCAUUAAUUCCCACAUCAUCCCUAAAACCCAGAUGAUUUCUUCAUCCAGCUGUAUAUUGGAAGGACAGUCUUCAGUGCAUUUUUCAUAUUUACUAAUUAUUAACUUGUUCUUAUCAAUUGUGAAAUCCAGUGUUAGUCAAAUUUUUCACCAAGGUAGAGGGGAAGGUCGAGGAAUAUAGCUCUAGCAUACUCCGAAUACUGCUUUAAAGUAUGUCAAACAUGGACUUUGUAUUGAUGAUUAGAUAUAAGGUAACAAAAGAAAUAGAACAUCUCAUCAUAUAUUGGACCAACAUAAAAUUUUUGCAAUACAAAUAAGUUAGAAACAAACAAACAAAAAAGUCUGCAAAAUUGCAUUUAUAAUUCCCAAGUUAGAAGUCAAAGUUGUAAAUCAAAUGAGUAAUUUCCAUUGUUAAAUUCAUUUUGCUGAAAUGGGCAUAGAGUCUCUAGCGUUCUUUUGACAUUAAUUUUUAAUGAUGAAUGAUAACAUUUAACAAAUAUUUAAUAAGUGUCUACUGGCGGGAGGAACUGUAUAACUAUAAUGAAAGGGUUAAGAGUCCUGUUUUGAGCCAGCCAGGCUUGGGUUUGAAUCGCAAUUACUGGUUUUACGGACUUUUGGCAAUUAUCUUCACCUCAUUAAGCUUUAGCUUCUAAUUUGUAAAAUGGUCCUUACGUCACAUGGUUGCUAUAAGGACUGAACAAGAUAACACAUGGAAAAUGCUUGGCAUGUGCUUGCCUGAUAAAUGGUAAUAAUUUUCAUAAUAGUAUUAUAUAGUUUAUAAUAUUUGUAAUUGCUAACAUUUGACCUUUUCAACUACCAAAAAUAUUAGUCUGUGCACAACAAGAUUAGGGCCUGAAGAAUGAAAUAGUGACAAUAAUAGUCCUAAUACCUGCCCUCAUGGGUUCAAUCAGAUGGAAGAUACAGAGAAGCAAACAACUGUCACACACGGUAAUUGGAUUCAUGUAGAGGAUCUUGAGAGCACCACCUAAUUCAGUCUAAGAAGGUUACAAUAGAAGGAAAUAACACUUGGGACAGAAGGAUGAGUUGGAUGGGGGUGUGGCAGGUGAAGAGGCGGGGGUAAGAGAGUGUUCUAGACAGAGAGAACAGGCAUAAGGAUCAGAACCUGAUAGAGCAUGGGGAGUUUUAGGAAACAAAAGAGCAGUGUACUCGGAUGGGGAGGGGAGGAGGGUACUACUAUGUGAGGCUGGAAAGGUCACUAAGAGUCAUUUUUUGCAAGGAUUCAUACGCCAUGUUAAGUAAUAUAGACUGUAAGCAAGGGGCAGCUUCUGAAAGUUUAGAAAGAGGGGAGACCUUUGACCAGGUUUACCUCCUAGAAAGAUGACUUAUUAUGUGGAUACUAGACGAGUGAGGAGGAAUAUUCGUCGGGGUGGCAGCAGUUAAAGCUGAGAGAUGAUGGAGGUCUGACAUUGUACAGAGCUGGUGGGGAUGUGUAGUAGACAAAGAAUCAUAGAGUUGGCACCACCUGGUAAACACUUCGAUGUAAGCAAGAGGGAGUUUGCGUAUCCACUGGCUGGAAUAGUUGUCGUCUCAUAAAGAUCAUGGCCCUGAGAAACUAUAGCUCAGGAUAAGGAAAUAGGCAAGAGCUGAAAGGACAUCCCCAACCAAUGUCCAGAUGGGACUCUCCAAAGUGUUUCCUGAGCAUCUGUCAGAUAAUUAUAUGAGAUUCUGAGUGUAUUCUUUUCUCCUCCUUCUCUCCUCCCUGCCACCUCCCCGGAGAGGAGAAGCUGCAUCCAAAAGCAAACUGCUUCCUUAACUUGACUUAGGAAGAAGAGUCUUGCUUGAUUUAUUCUAUCUGUAUACUUUUAGAAUAUAUAACUGAUAAAAAUGGAUGUAUUCAUGAAAAGCAUAAUUAACUUAUAAAAUGCCAAUUACCACUGAUGCAGCACCUCAUUUGUGCCAGGUUCUGUGCUUGUUACUAGAAGUACAAAGAUAUAUACAACCACAGUUAUUCUCAAGCUGCUCACAAGAUUAGUAAGUAGGACAGACAGAUACGCAACAGAGAGAUAGAGUAUAAUACACACAUUUCAUGUUAUGCAGCUAGCAAUUAUAUUUGGGGGGAAUUGAGAGGGUUUUCCAGAAUUAAGAGUUGCCUGAUAUAGUGAGCAACAAAGCAACAACAUAUCUUUAUUGAGUCGAUACAUGGACAAAGUCAUGAAUCUCAAUUCAAAGAUCAUUUUGUUUUGUUAGAUUUUGUGGAGAGUGGCAAGAAGAAGAAGAAGAUAAUUUCUAGCAAGAAAUUAUAGAGUCAAAAGACAUAAACUUCAUGGAACGAUGUGACUAGGACUGGGCUAAGUCCUGGGGAAUUGGACAGAAGAAAUGAAUCUCAUCAAGAUGGUGCAAUUGCCUACGAUAUAUUCAAGACUGCCUUUUCCCCGUCCAUGGCAAUGUGUUUCAGAUGGUAAUUCUAGUAAUACAGAUGAAAUAAUAGGAUGGGAAGCCAGAGGGCAUGAUUGGAGAUGGAUUUAGAAGAUAAAAUCCACAGGAUUUGGCAGUAAAUUUGAUGAGGGGUUUCAAAUUAGAGAAGUUGAGAAUGAAUCUAGACUUCUCAUAAGCAAUUUGAGAGCUUAUAUGAUUGGGAGGAAAGUAGCAUGGAUUUUUUGGAAGCCAGGGAAUGACAGAGCUUAAAGAAUUAGGAAAUAUUGGGGCACCUGGGUGGCUCAGUCGGUAAGUGUCUGACUUCAGCUCAGGUCAUGAUCUCAUGGUUCGUGAGUUCGAGACCCGCAUCGGGCUCUGUGCUGACAGCUCAGAGCCUGGAGCCUGCUUCAGAUUCUGUGUCUCCCUCUCUCUCUGCUCCUCCCCCACUCACACUCUGUCUCUCUCUCAAAAAUAAAUAAACAUUAAAAAAAUUUAAAAAAAAGAAUUAGGAAAUACUGCAGACAAACAGGUGAGAUAGGGUCACUGAACUUGGCAAUCAAGAGAACGUCAACGGUUUCUGACAGAGAGAAAGUUAGGGAAAAAAACAGAAAGGGGAUGUUUGAAGGUGACUAAGCAGUGGAAAAUGGGAAAACAGUGAGUAUAAUCUAUUUUUCAAGAAGAUUGGCAAUGAAUUUAAGGAAAAAAAACUUAAGAGAUGAGAUCAAAGGGACACUUAAAAUUUACAUGAUUUUAUUUUAUUUUAGAGCAGGAAUCUUGUCCAUUUAUCUAAGUUUGUGGUAAGGUCUUCUAAAGGAGAAACUGUAAUACAGGAUGGAGGCAAUAGUUGCUACAUCAGAGACCAUGAGGAUUUGUGAAGAAACUGUACAGAAAGAAAAGUUGGGGGCAUACGCAUCUAUCUUGCAGAGAUUCCUAAUAUCCCCAGAUAUUUUGUGUGAUGCUUUUCUAUGAGAAACAUUAUGUUAUCAUGGUGUUCAUGAAUUUGGAUACUUGUAACAAUCUUGGUACCUAUCCCUUUUGAUUCAAGAUUAACCAGAGACUUCCUAUUUCCUUAUUUAACAUAUAUUUACUGGGCACCUUCUAUAGGCUAGGCACUAUGCUAAAUGUGGGCUAUACUUUGGUAAAUGAAACGGAUUAAUCCCUGCUCUCAGGUACAUUUAAAAAAGGAUCAUUUGCCACGUAAGGUGUUCACUGUAGACUUUUCUGUGUUAGUACAAAUUUAAUCUGCUGAGCAGUAUAUGCUGAGGUUGGAAAUUGUCACAUAUUCUUUAACCCAAGUACAGUAAAGGUAAAAGUAUUAAAUGAACGAAUAUCAGCAAAGCUGCAAAUAAGUUUUAUUUUAACACAGAUGUUAUAAAUGAGAGGGCAAAUGGAAGUCUAGAAGUAAAUAUUCAUUACCCAUUUACUCAUUCAUUUAAUAAACAUUUUGUAUAUGCUAUGGCCUUAAGGUGACUAAGACCUGGUUAGUGUUUCUCCUAUUCUCAAAGAUUUCAUAAUCUAAUGGUGCAAUCAUAGAAGUGCUUCCUAAUGAUUUUAAGCCUUAAACUCAGAAGCAUGUCUUCCUAAAAUACAAUGUGAAGUAACCAUAGCCUAACAGAAUAAGUGCUCUGUAAUUAGAAUUAGAGUUCCACAGGUCAGUGUGAGAUGCAGCAGCAGAUCGGUCUAACAUGCAGGCCAUUCCAGAAGAAAGAGGAUACUCCAGGACUGAGGGAGAGGACUCAGGCACUUGUGGCUGUGCCAUUAACCUAUUCCCAGUGAAGAGGUUUGGUAGCUAAGACCAACUCUAUAAUGGACAUCUAUUCUUAGUUCUUUAAUAAACAAUACAUUCAUUUUAUUUUAUUUUAUUUUUUUUCAACGUUUAUUUAUUUUUGGGACAGAGAGAGACAGAACAUGAACGGGGGAGGGGCAGAGAGAGAGGGAGACACAGAAUCGGAAACAGGCUCCAGGCUCCGAGCCAUCAGCCCAGAGCCUGACGCGGGGCUCGAACUCACGCACCGCGAGAUCGUGACCUGGCUGAAGUCGGACGCUUAACCGACUGCGCCACCCAGGCGCCCCACAAUACAUUCAUUUUAAAGAAAUGCCAAAGAAAUUAUUUUUUCAGGCACUGUUAAGGAGAUUUAGUGUAAUGGUUAAGAACAUGGACUGUGUUGCCAGCUGCCUGUAUUCUAGCCUGGGAUCAGUCCUUACUAUUUGUGUGACAUUGGCAAGCUACUUGAACUCUUUGCAUUCAAUUUCCUUAUCUGUAAGAUUAGACUAAUAAUAUCUAUCUCCUGGUAUGAAGCACUGGGGGAGACAACACAUUGUAAAACCCUACAAACAGUGUUUUCCCACGGUGAGCACUCAACAUAUGAUAUCUGUUAUUAACAUGACAUGAAUUACAAAGAUCCAAAUGUCAUUUUUACUCAUUCUGGGGCUCACUCAUUGCAAAAACAAGUGUACUUUUUCCCUAACUAGCUUAGAAUACGUUUUUAUUCCAAAAAGUAGAAGUUUAAUAACUCAAUUCAUUUAAAAAGUAUUUAUGAGACAGAAUUAUGGUAUAAUUGUGCCUUGGCCCCUUAUGUUUUUGAGCACUUUUAACUUCAGAAUAGCUUUUAGAUCCUCAUAAUAUUGCUAUAAGUGCUAUUGGACAGUUGUCCUCCUUUUACAAAUUAGGAAAUGGGACAAUAUAGGGUUAGUGAUUUGCCCACAGUAGACAUAAGGCCACCAGACUUUUAGUCUAGUAUUUAAACAGAUUGACCAAAACUCAAAAAGUUCCUGAGCACACACUUGUGCCCAACAUUGCAGUAGGUGCCUCAGAAGACUAAAAUUAUAUAAAAUACAAUCCAUAACCAAAGAAUCUUACUUUCUAAUUGGAGAGAUAUCAUCUUAUAUUGUCUUUUGCACAGUCUCAGCAGUUUUGCCCAGUUUUUAAAGCUCUUUGAAAUCUGUCCAAGCCACCACCCUUUAUUAUUAGUUUUCAGUGGAAACCCAUAUUUCUAGCUGAUCCAUUAUUCUUACUACUGCAUGAGUCAAGAAACAUUAUGAGGUUUUAAUUUUUUUAAUGUUUUAUUUAUUUUUGAGAGAGAGACAGAGUAUAAGUGGGGGAGGAGAAGAGAGAGAGAGGGAGACACAGAAUCUGAAGCAGGAUCCAGGCUCUAAGCUGUCAGCACAGAGCCUGAUGCAGGGCUCGAACUCGUGAAUCGCGAGAUCAUGACAUAGCAGAAGUUGGACAGUUAACUGACUGCGCCACCCAGGUGCCUCGAAACAUUAUAAGGGUUUAAAAACAAUUCUUUAGGUUAUUUGAAUGUACUUUGUGGGUUGAGGUCUGCUGGGAUUUACAGAAUGAUGAAUGUGACCCAUGCUAUGCCUUUUCUGCAUUUGGGAACAAACAUGGGACAAGUAGAGACAGAUAGACCAUAGAUUUGUCCUGGAAUGGGUGGGGGUCAGUUGUGUAUAAGUGUGCAUCUUAAGGGGGAGGCAAAGCAAAUACAGGCCUCCAUUUUACAUGUCCCUUAAUAUGGAGUCUGUUUUCGGCUUCCUGGAAAUUGGGGCAGUCAGUAGCCUCAUCUCCUGUGAUUUUAUAUUCCAGAAAUACUAAACUAUUAUUGUUUCCAAACACAUCCUGUUGGUUCAUGUCUCUAGGUUUCUGUAUAUUUAUUUUUUCUGACUGGAAUGCUCUUUAGAAAAAAGUUUUCUUACAUUUUUUAAGGAGUCUACCAUAUCAAGAAUUUAAUGAGAAAUUUAAAAAUUAAACAGAUAAUACAAAAUCUAUCACUUUCCCCAGAUAAACACAUAAAGAAAUUUAUUACUGAGGGCAGAAGGCAAACAAUACAAAAGGACUAACAGUGGAGUAUGUUACUAGUACUUCUUACAAGAAAAUACUGGGAGCAGUUGGGAAUGUUACUGGUAAUAAUAAUAAUGACAGUUUAUUGAAUACUUACAAUUUGUCAGGCAUUAUGCUAACUGCUUCGCAUUUAUAGCCUCAUUUAAUAGUCCACAGAAAGUAUGAAGUAGGUGAUAUUAUCCUCAUUUUUGAGAUAAGAAAAUUGAGGAUUAGAUAGUCGGGUAAGGUCACAUGGUAUGUGGCUAAAAUGGAAUUAUACAACACAGUGUCUGGCUCUAGAGCAUAAUCAAUUACCAACACCUUUAUAAUUGUGGGCCUCACAUGUUUACAGACAAGUGCUUAGAAAAUGGUAAUAAACAAUGGGCAUUUGUAAUUUUAACUCAUGCCAUUAAUAGAAUUUCAAUAAUGAUCCAUUGUAGAUAAGGCUUAUUAAGGCUAAAUUAAGGAAGGGAAACAUUAACAUAUUCAAAUGGAACAGGUAACAGAGACCAUGGCCAGUAACAUUUUGAGUCAAUAAGGUAUUUCCCAACAUGGAAAUUCAUAUUUAAAGGUUGAAAGUCAUUUUUCUAAAAUCCAAAUAUAUAUACAGUUGACCCUUGAACAAUGCAGGGGUUAAGGGGGCUGAUCUCCUGUGCAGUUGAAAAUCUGCAUAUAACUUUUGGCUCCUCCAAAACUUAACCAUUAAUAAAUAGCCUACUGUGACCAGAAGCCUUACUGAUAACAUAAACAGUUGAUUAACACAUAUUUUGUAUAUAUAUUAUAUACUAUAUUCUUAUAAUAAGGCUAGAGAAAAGAAAAUGUUAUUAGAUAAUCAUAAGGAGGAGAAAAUACAUUUAUAGUACUGUACUGUAUUUAUAAAAAACAAAUCAGUGUGCAAAUGGGUCCAUGCAGUUCAAACCAUGUGGUUCGAGGGUCAACUAUAUAUGUAUGUGUGUAUACAUGUAUAUAUGUAUUUGUAUAUGUGUAUAUAUGAUAAUUACCAUAUAAUAUUAUAAUUACUAUGCACAUAUGCAAAACUACAGCUCGUUUGUAUCCUCUAUUACUAGUACACUCCCUGGCACAUGGUAACUGGUGAGUAAGUGAAGGUAGGCAAAAGAACAAAGACUAAAACAGAAAGAACCAAAAUGAUAAGGUUACUUUAAUACAGUAUAGACUGCAUUCCUAAUUUAGAGUAAAGAAACUUCAUCUUUUGAGGCAUCUGCUAUCAGUUUAAUUCCACUAAAAGAACAUCUUCUAAAUUGUGCCUUCCUUUGAAGAGAAUACAGCAUAAGACUAAGGAAGCAAUGAAGAAAAAUAAUUUUAAUUGAGUUUAUUUAUGACCAAGAAGAAAAAAACAAAUGGUGAAGGCAAGUGCCAGGAACUUUGUGACGAUGUGGUAAUUUAUAAAAGAAUAUUUACAGAAAGCCAGUUGAAAAAUGAAUGAAAUAAACUGAAAUGUAAUGGGGAUGAAUAGAAGGUUCAGUAUUUAAUAUAAAUAUUCAGCUGGAUGAGAUACAACUGUGUUUCAACAGCAAUUCUUGUGAAAAGGAUGAGGGAAAAUUACUUUCCUAGAAGCCCAAUAUAAAUUGACAAGGCAAAUGUCCGAUAAAGAUAAAAGCGACAGGACCUAAUACAGCAUUACAUUGAAUCAAGAGAAAAAUGGCAUCUGGAUCAUGGGAAAUAAAACUGUAUUUUCAGGUGUGCUUUCAUCAGAGCAAGUGUGAUAAUGAGAAUCCCUCAAAAUGGUUCCAUUAAAAAGAGUUGGAAAGAGAUGGAAAAGUUUAAUCUGAGUGCCUGCUUUGUGCUAAACAUGUUCAAACAUGUCACAAAUAUAAAAGGAGAGACAAGAAUGCAUGUAAGUAUUUAUAACAAAAUCUUACAAUACUUUGUAAUAUGUGUAAGCCUAGAACAUGAGUUGUUCAUUGCAUAAACUCUUUGCCUUCUGUCUCUGGAAACCAAAAAAAGAAGCCAUCCAUUCUACCUGGGGUCCAGCAGUUUUCAUGCCCACUGCUUUCAUUAAACAUUUUUUUAAUGUUUAUUUAUUCAUUUAUUGCUUUAAUUUUCUUCUUUAUAUAUUUGUCAUUUGCAAAUUCUUUACAAUGGAAAUGAAUUGUUUUUAUAAUAAAAAAGAAUGCAAUCCAAGUAAUUUAAAAAGGCUCUUAAAGACUAAUUCCCAAAUUAUCCAAAACCCCAUGUAGCAGCCUGAGCCUUAUUCCCUUUCUGAAUGAAGCUUGAUUAUAUCACUGUAUUCAAAAGUCCAGGGUCCCCCAAAGGCUGGGCCAAACCAGGCACUAAUGAAUUUGCUAUUUUCUAAAAAUACAGCGAAAUGAAGACAGACUCUAGUAGUGAGCAUUAUAUGUUAAAUACACUGAUCAUUAAUAAUACAAUUAAUUCAAUUAAAAGGAUUAUUAAUAAAAUAAGAAUAAAUGGGGUUUAAACUAAGUCCCUCUCUGUCUAAGGUUCAUUCAGGUCUCAGCUUAACAAUUAUUUACAUUUAGUUUAAACUAAUUUAUUGUUAUCAUUUUUAUUAAUGUCAUCAAUUUCUCUGAUUCACUUUCAGACAUUCAAGGGGAAUCAACAACACUAAUUUUCCAGCCUAUAAUUUGUUCGUUUUUUUCUUUUCUUUUUUUUUUAAUAUGAAAUUUAUUGUCAAAUUGGUUUCCAUACAACACCCAGUGCUCAUCCCGAAAGGUGCCCUCCUCAAUACCCAUCACCUACCCUCCCCUCCCUCCUACCCCCCCAUCAACUGAUUUCAAAGAGCUAAAACAGUUUAAGAAUUCUGAACUUUAGGCACUACAGCCAUGGACCUAAUGCUUGCACUUUGAUUAGAAAAGCAGUGCAUUUAAGUUCAGUAUAGGCAGCCAAAGCUUAAUUUAUCAGAUUUCCUAAAACACGCAAUGUGCAAUGGUAUCAUCUAUUCUGUUGAAUUACAGUUAAAAAAAUUACUGGUACAAUAAACUGUUUUAUCAGUUCCUAUGGAUCAUGACUUAAAUUUGAGAAAUACUGUAUUAAAUUAUCUCUAAAGUUUCUACUACCCUUACAUUUAAAUUUUCAAUUAAUGCAACGAUAAUCCAAGAUAUAAAAUGACACAGAGUAUGCAGAAAUAGAACUGCCUCCAGUGGUUCAGUGGAUAGUCACUUUUUUAUAAAAAGAUCAGUUUUUCUGUGAACUAGCUCUGAACAAUACAAACAAAAACAGUAUAAAUAAUGUAAAAUUUUUGCAGCAAAAUUAUUUGUUAUGGAUGGUCUUUAUAAUAAAAGUUGCAUUUUUUCCUAAAGUUUCUUUCUUUUUUUCUUAACGUUUAUUUAUUUAUUUUUUUUGAGACAGAGAGAGACAGAGCAUGAACGGGGGAGGGUCAGAGAGAGGGAGACACAGAAUCUGAAACAGGCUCCAGGCUCUGAGCUGUCAGCACAGAGCCCUACGCGGGGCUCGAACUCACGAACCACAAAAUCAUGACCUGAGCCAAAGUCGGCCGCUUAACCGACUGAGCCACCCAGCCACCUCUUAAAGUUUCUUUCUUAAUUCAACAGAUAGCAUGUAAUAGCUAUUAGUCUUCAUUAAAUAUUAAAUGUAAACCUAAAGAUUCAAGCCAAAAAAAAUCAGACUAGAAAAAAUACUGCCAAAUUUAACAGUACCUUAGAACCAAUUUUACAAAAAUAAAGAUCAUUAAAAGAAAUCAGCUUCCAUUGGUUCUUUAGCAAAAGUCAAAUAUUUAAUGAAACUGAGAUACUACUCAAAUUAAAAUCCUGAAAAAAACUACACAAUGUUUUACAAAAAUGAGCUAUCAUUUUUUUUUCCUGAAUCCAUUUCCAUGGACAUGUGAGAUGAAAUGAGGAUCUACCUACCAUUCUAUCUCUGCACUCUUUCUCUCCUCAUCUCAUUACACAAAUAUGAUUUACCCAAGGCAAUAAUAUACAAAUAUAUAUUUACAUACAGGCAAUAAUACAUGCAUGUACAUAUAAAUUUAUACCUACCCACACAUAUAAAAUCUUACCUCUUUGCUUUCUUCCAGAUCUGAUUCACUACUGAAGUCCUCUGUGUUUAAAUUUUCAAAGUCAGACUCUCCUACAGCAAUUGGUACAGUCACGGUAAGACUGGGAUUGUUUAUGAAUGACAUGUAAUCGCUUUCAUCAAUAAUGUAUUUUUCAACACUGCUGCCGGUUCCUAUUCCACUUGUGGUUCCAUUCACAUCUUUAAUAUAGUCAAGAUCUUUUCCAAUUUCUGUUGUAUGAUUGGACAUACAACUGUCUUUCUUAUUGUUUAGAUCAUCAAGUGGUUUAAUUUCAUCUAGAAUCUUUUGUUUUCUGACAAACGAUUGUUGAAUAAAUUCAU
rnacentral:lncRNA from 1 species